CACGUUCAUAUAAGACUUUGAUAAUUUGCACAUAAGGAAUGGUUUACCAACAAAAGUAUUCAGGGAUACGCCUUCGUGUUAAAUGUUGUGUCAUUUUCCCACUUGCGAACUUACAAUGUAAUGUCUUGAGGAAAUGCAUGUGAAGACAGAAGCAGAUACCUCGUGAUAAUCUGGAUUCUCACUAAGAUUAACAAUCCCGUGUGUUCCACUUUAGCAAAACCUUAGCGAAUCGGAAACCUCCAAGUCGGCACCGCCACUGACCAGCCUGAUCGCAAAAUUCACCACGAGACAGAUUUACGAAUUUCGAGAGGCUUUUAACCUAAUGGAUCAGAACCGAGAUGGAUUUAUUGACAUGGAAGAUUUAGAGGACAUAUACUCGUGUCUCGGUGAGAUGCCCACAGAACGGGAGAUAACCAGGAUGUUAACCGAAGCACGUGGUGACCUUAACUUCACUGCCUUCCUCCGCAUGAUGGGGCAGAACGUAUCCGGUUACGAUCCCAGUGACAGAAUACAGGAGGCAUUCCAGAUGUUUGACCCGGAGA